UCUCAUUCAGCAAUGUUGCAAUGUUAGGAGCGCAGUGCCAAGGACAGCUUUCUAAACACAGCUGCUACCCACAGCAGGGACACCUCAGUGGGAGAGAAACCUCAGCAGGCUGUGAGGAGGGAACUGCCAAGGAGCUCCAGGGAAGGACCAGACAGGUCAGCAGGGAUCAGGCUGAAAGAGUUGCUGGACCCCAAUUGGCUACAGCACUAUCAGUUCUUCUCAAGUUACCAUGACAACCACUGACAUCAAGCUCAUGCCACUCACUAUGGACACACUGAAUACAGAGAUUGUCUCCUGGGAUUUUUUAUUUCAGUAAGGAUACUCAUGCAUCGAAUUAUAAUUAGAUGUAUCUGCAACAUGUCAAGUCAAAACUGCUCUGGAAUCCUGCAUUUAAACAACAAGAAAGGAGAUGUUGGAACACGGUCCAGGAAUGAAGCCAUGUGAGGAGAAUUCUGACUGCUUAUGAGGAAACUCCAAGAAAACAAGACAAGGGUCUUGUGACCUUAGUUUCUUCAAAACAUAGAAUUGUUCUUGGAAUGUGGUUUUUGUGCUCCUCUCAGGUGUCGUGGAUAGGAGUGAGUUUACUUCAGAUUAAUCGUUAUUGCUUGCUGCGGUUACUUCAUUAAAUGUUUAUACUAUCCUUUAUAUGUUUCUAUGGGAAAACAUGUUUUUGCCAUGUGUGGCCUCUCCUUAUGAUUGUAUACAGCUUGCACUUAUGAGAACUUUAACUUCCAGAGUAUAAAUUGUCUGAUGUUCUGAAUAAAGUUGGCUGUUAUUUGA